CCUCUCUCCACGUCCACGGCGCCGAGUCUCGCCACGGUGGCGCAGGCGCCAGGGAGGUUCCCCGGCUUUGCCGCGCGGAGGAAGUCCCGGUUACGCAGAGCGCGCUGGGGCAGGGCUGACCUUCCCCUUUCUCUACUUCACUGGCCUCCUCCAGACGUGGUGGUUGCGCCCUUUCGGCCUCGCUUUCCGUUUUUUGGCUUCAUCCCCUAGAUCUGCAAACAGUUCCUCGUGUUUCUUCCGUUAGCCGGGAAACGCGAACUGCAGCGUUUGGGACCCGGGUUUGCGCGUGUGGAAAGCAAAAGGGGUUACUCUGCUGGAGUUCGACAUUGCAAAUAAAGGUCUUUAUCCCCGGCGGUUCUACAAAAUUAGUUCUGCAGGGAUUCUGGUUGAAAGAAGCGUUAAAGUGGGCCUUGUAGGAGUCAGCAAUAAUCCAAUUUUACAUGGGUGCAGGUGGCUGCCUGUGUCUAGCGCUUUCACACAUCUCAUAUCUUCAUCCACGCCGUGGGUAUUUUUUUUCCACGGUGUGUUUCUGUUGCUGCCUCCAGUAUAUUGCUUAAUCAUCCUACCUGGUAAUUAUUUAUGCAUUUUUCUCCUACUCUCGACUCAGCUCCUAGGGAAUAAAAACACAUUAACUUAUCUUUGUGCCCACAGCACCCACCAAGUAUUUCCAUCACGUAAUACUGCCUCUAGAAAGGCAGGAGGAGAAGCAGUCACGCUAAGGAUCUAGGCAAGCCAGAUCUUUUGUCCGGUUUUAGGAGGUGGCCAGCCCUUACUUAUUCCACAAGUGUUUUUCCAGAAACUCAGACUUGAUAUUGCCUCAAGUCCAAGGCAGUGUGCUUCCCCCACUCACAUAUCACUAAUAGUAGCUAACAUUUGUUCAGAUCCCUGUAUGUACUCUGCCACUGUUUUAAAUGUUACACCCGGGUUACCUCAUUUAAUCCUUACAACUGCCCUGUGAGGUAGGUACUAUUAUUAUCUCUACUUUGUAGAUGGGAUUCACCGAGGCACAGACGGUUAAAAAACCUAGCCCAAAUAACACAAAUAAACAGCAGAGCAUGCAGUGCUAGAGUCUGCAUUCUUAACAAUUGCUAUAUUCUCCCUCUCCGUGAAUGUGGGCUGAGAUGCUGAAACAGGCAUGUGCUGUGGGGGAGAAAAAGCUUUGUCCAACCAAGUGCUUUCUAAUGUCCAGAUGACAUAGAGCUAGGAUUUCCUAAUGUCUUUUUUCCCCUAUUUUUCUCUCCAUUUCAGGGUUGAGUUUGUGCAUCGAUUGUGAACACAACAGGCAGCAGGCUAUAAUGGUGGUCCUGGCUGGAGUAGUUUUCACAGACUUCAGUAAUCUGUGGAGAUGAACGGGCAGUUCUCUGUAGUUUUCACAGAUCACUGCCAGUUCGUUUUGAGGCCUUCAGGAGUGAAGACCUGGCUCAUCAUCACUCUUUGUUGUUUUGUUAAAUUUAUUUACACCCUACUUUAUUCCAGAGGAAAGGAUUUAACGUAGUUUACAUAAAUGUGUACAUCAGGGUAAAUUAAAAAUAAGUACAGAGAAAAAUAGGACAAAAGAAAACCGUGAGUGUGAAAGAUAAGAUUAAGCCAGCAGUUUUGUAUGCAAAAUGCAUGGUGUAAGGUCCUAUUGGUUUGCUGGAGGUAGGCCACACAUAUGACUCUCAGUUUUCUAGCAACCAAGAAAAAGAUCAGUUGCAAUCGGAGUAGGUGUUUUGGCUAAGCUGGAACUAGGACUUGAAUAUAGCAGCUUGUAGAGUUAUACCACUUGCCCAAAUCUCUUCCAUGAGCCUCUUUAAGUGUAACAGAAUGCCUGGGAGCACGUAAAUGCUCCUACUUAGAUGCCUACUUAGCCUCUAAUUUUCAUGGGGCCCAUGAAUCCCAUGAAAAAGAACUUUGAACCCUGUCCACAAUUAGAGUUCAGGUAUACGCAGACAUGUUUAAAGACAAGGGACACCCAAAGGAAAGAUUGCACAGAGAGAAAGUGAGCAUCCGAGAGAAAAUCACCACAAGUGAGGCAGAGGGAGGCCGGUCUCAGCAGAGUUUUGGAGGUCGUGAGAAGAAGAGGUAGGAGAUAGGAGAGUGGUUCCGAGUACUUGCCUGCUGAUGUUACCUUCUCCACCCCCACCAGGUUUUCCAGUGCCUGGAGUCUUGGGCAGGAAUGGGCCACUGUAAGAAAGAGCUUUAUCACUAGGGCCUCAGCCAACUUUUCUGUGGGAUAUCCCUCCAAAAUAAUUAAGAGUUCAGAAUGCUUCAGAUUUUGAAGUGAAACUGGUACAUAUAUUAAGUGUUACUUAAUAACCCGAUAGUUUCUAGGGCAGCUCACCAUAAUCCCAAGUAUUAGCCACCACCCUCACCCCCUUCAGAGUAAAAUGUGUUUCCUGAAGGAAGUUGGGAAAAUGAAGAAAAAAAAUACAAAAAUCACCUAUAAUCUUACCAGUCAUAGAUGGCAGUUUUCCUGUCUUAUUUCUGAAUAAUGGUUGUUAAACAUUUGCCAGCACACCAUAAGGCUUAGGGAGGCAUCUGGGUCAUGCAUGUUAAUAUCCUUGGGUAAUUCCAGAAAUCUCUAUGAAGGGAAACUCCUGUUAUUUAUCUAGACUUCCUGAUUGCAAGGGGUUUGGGCAUCAUGAUUUAGGGGUCUUAAUAAAAUUAUUAUUUUAUUUUUACUAAUAGAUAAUGUCUGUGCCUAUCAGAUAAAGGCAAACCAGUGCUCAGAGGAACCCAACCAUCUCUGAAUUGAGACCAGAGAGCUGUCUCUAUGGAUAGUCCUUAGAGAAGGCAUUUCGGAACACAGUAAACAGCAGCCUGGUGACUCCGAUUACAGGGCCAGUUGCCUUUGUUACAAUAAAAGCAAGUCAUCUACACAGAUUUUUCCUACCAGGAAGAGCAUGUGCUGACCAACAGACAUGAAUUUCAGCCUGGUAGUUACAACAUUCACAGUAUACCCACAUCACUAAGCUGGGAGGCACAUUUUGAGACCCAGAAUCCUGACACCUCCAUGCCUUCAAAAGGACAAACUGCGGCCUGGACCAGCUGGUGAAACAUAAUUCUGAAUCCUGCCCACAGCCUUCGGUGGUUUUGGAUGAAAGGCCAGCGCCUUGGGAGCCCUGCGUUUGAUUUCAAGUUUUAAGGCCGGCACUGGUGGAGCAAUGAAUGGUGAAAGCUCUCCCCUUAAAGGAGCACAGUUGCCUUUAGGUGACUGCUAACUCAGGCUUUUGCUGAGGACAGUGUUUACUUUGUGAGCUUAAUGACAGGGCUGGCUUUCUGGGAGUGUUGCAAUGAAACAGACUCAGACACAGGCCAUCAUGGGCCUCCUCCCUAGCAAGGCCGCCACGGCUGGCAUCUCAAGAGCAGUCCGUUGAACUUGGGAUUUGGGUGUGAGACACAGUUUCAUCAGAAGAAUUUAAACCAAAGUCUACAUUUGCCCUCUAGAUAAAUGUGUGUGUUCAGCAGCAACCACAA
rnacentral:lncRNA from 1 species